rnacentral:rRNA from 1 species
CAGUAGCCGCGGGAAAACAGAGGGUGCGAGCGUUAAUCGGAUUUACUGGGCGUAAAGCGUGCGUAGGCGGCUUUUUAAGUCGGAUGUGAAAUCCCCGAGCUUAACUUGGGAAUUGCAUUCGAUACUGGGGAGCUAGAGUAUGGGAGAGGAUGGUAGAAUUCCAGGUGUAGCGGUGAAAUGCGUAGAGAUCUGGAGGAAUACCGAUGGCGAAGGCAGCCAUCUGGCCUAAUACUGACGCUGAGGUACGAAAGCAUGGGGAGCAAACAGGAUUAGAUACCCCAGUAGUCCCUGUCUCUUAUAC